GUCUCACAUUCUAGACGGACAAACACAUAUUAUCUCUCACGCUCACUGUUACAUGGCUUUCUAGAGAGAGAAGCUCCGACCUCUCUCUAUAAAGCAAAUAAGAAAAAACUAAAGAGAGAACAAAACUUUACGGGGGCUGCCCUCGGCUAAAUAUAGUCGACUGCCCUCGGCUAAAUAUAGUCGGCAGUAAGCCCCUUAACAUCUUUUUAACAUUUUUUUUUUCCUUUUGUUCAUCUUCCCCCUUUUUUUCCAGAUCUAGAUCUAGUUUUUUUUACUAGUUCCUAGAAGUUGUGGCCAUAGGUGAAGUGGUUAGUAUGUUUGUAGUAUUUGGAGAAGACUUUCCUCCUUUGAGCUGCCAGUGGUUUUUUUGGGUAAGAAUGGGGCUGUAAUUUAUGGCCGAAAUUGGGUUAAUUUUUGUUGCAGGUUGCUGCUUGUGAUGAGGGGAAAGUUCGGAUAUGUUGCGGGUCUCCUGUUUGUGAGGGAGAAAAGAGAGAGUAGAUCGGGGGCUGGGUUUUUGGGGGGAGAUAGGGUCUGUUGAGGGGCCGCUGAUGUCGGCUUCAAAGGAGGAAGGAGAAAACGGGCAGCUGUGGUUUCUUGGCUGGUUUGGCGUCAGUUUCUUUACGGUGCUCCUGCUAGUAAUAGUGAGGAGAUCAGGUGUUUGGAUAUUGGGAGAAGAUCGGGUGAUUUAUGGGCUAUCAGUUUGAAAGGAGGAAGAAAGGGACGGCUGGUGUUUCCAGAUGGUUUUUGGCAUUGGUUUGAUGGUGUGGAGGAAGAGAGUGGCAUGGCUGGUGGGUCUGGCUAGGAUGGUUCAGGCUGGAGGGAGAUCUGGGAAAGGGUAGAAAUUAAUUUUGUUUUUCAGGGUUGCAUGGAAUCCUUUGUUUUCAAAUUUUAAUUUUGGUGCUGAUUACCCUAAAUUUACCUAGACUAAAAGAUGAUGCCUUGACAAGCGCAUCUGAGUUCAGUCUCUUUUCUUUAAU